GUCUUCUCAUUGAGCUCCUUUGUGUUUGUUGGUGGCAGUUUAUGAAUUCACAUGAGAAGAAGACAGAACUCACAGAGCAUCACCUUCUAUCUUUACAGAGGUAUAUUGACUGUUUUGUGAGACAUUC
rnacentral:snoRNA from 1 species